UAAGACAGGACCUGACUGAGA
rnacentral:piRNA from 1 species